rnacentral:rRNA from 1 species
GCUGGCGGCGUGCCUAACACAUGCAAGUCGAGCGAUGAAACCCUUCGGGGUGGAUUAGCGGCGGACGGGUGAGUAACACGUGGGUAACCUGCCUCAAAGAGGGGAAUAGCCUUCCGAAAGGAAGAUUAAUACCGCAUAAUAUGUUUUGAUCGCAUGAUCUGAACAUCAAAGGAGUAAUCCGCUUUGAGAUGGACCCGCGGCGCAUUAGCUAGUUGGUGAGGUAACGGCUCACCAAGGCGACGAUGCGUAGCCGACCUGAGAGGGUGAUCGGCCACAUUGGAACUGAGACACGGUCCAGACUCCUACGGGAGGCAGCAGUGGGGAAUAUUGCGCAAUGGGGGAAACCCUGACGCAGCAACGCCGCGUGAAUGAUGAAGGCCUUCGGGUUGUAAAGUUCUGUCUUCUGGGACGAUAAUGACGGUACCAGAGGAGGAAGCCACGGCUAACUACGUGCCAGCAGCCGCGGUAAUACGUAGGUGGCAAGCGUUGUCCGGAUUUACUGGGCGUAAAGGAUGCGUAGGCGGACAUUUAAGUCAGAUGUGAAAUACCCGAGCUUAACUUGGGUGCUGCAUUUGAAACUGAGUGUCUAGAGUGCAGGAGAAGUAAGUGGAAUUCCUAGUGUAGCGGUGAAAUGCGUAGAGAU